AAGUAUCUGAAUUUCCUGUUCUGGAGGCAUUAACUGUCUUCUUAUAUUGAAAACCUGAUCACCUGCUUAAAACUAACUGCUCAAUGGCCCAAGGAUAAAGACCACUUUUUAUCAAGGCAUCAGUGCUCCUGGUUUUCAGUUCUUCAGACUCAGACCAUUGGAUCCCCUGGUCCUCAGAGCCUUUGAGUUUGGACUGGAACCACACCACCGACUUUCCUGGGCCUCCAGCUUGCAGACAGCAGAUCAUGGGGCUUCUCAGUCUUCAAAAUCACCCGCAAAGAGAGCCCUGAUAAUCCAUGAUAUGAACUCUGUAUAGCAACAUGCAAGAUAUCUGCACUGGACCCUCCUAA